AAAGAGCUCUAUCUGCCUCGGUCCAAGAGCCCAACGAUCAUCUAACAUCCACCGCCUGAUGUGCCAGCUUGUGACUAGGGGCUUCCAGACUUCACAAUCCUGCCCCCGUUGCCACUUACUGGUCGCCACAGGACUUUAAUCCGGGAUAUCGGGGUCAGAGUCCAGUGGCAAGGAGACCAAGACGACUGGUGACCCUUUUCUGCUGCAGCCUUCAUCCGCCUUCCCAGCCGUUGUGACGCCACCCCUCAGCCGGGACAGUGGUUGAUGGGCAGUAGGGCGUGUCCACACACCGGUGGGCCUACAUGCCACAUCUCUGGGGCCCACUGCUG